ACCGUGUCAUGAGAAACCUUAGAGCUUCCACUCAUGGGUCCUUCGGAACGCUCACGCCGGGGGAAGCCAGCCAUCACACGAGACGUAUUCCCAAGUAUUCUGGGCCCCCAUGCUGUAGGGAAGCCAAACUAGUCAUGUAGGGGAGGCUGUGGAGAGAGAGAGAUUCUUGACCAGUCCCCCCUCCGCUCAGCCGCCCCACUGGUCCCAGACCGAGAAUCACACAUUCGAACAGAAAAGCGUUCACAUCUCUCCAGCCCCAGCCGCCUUUGAUGGCUCCUGCUCUAGCAUUCCUAGUUGCAAGCUCCAUAUUUCCCAGUUGAGUCCCUGUCCUGAUGGAACAGCUACUUCCCAAUCCACGUGGAGCCCUGCCUUGCUGAGCUGCCCUCAUCUCCCUUUGGCCUCUCAGUGGCUCUGCACGGCUCACCUUAUGCCCGCUGGAGCCAGAACCCAUGAUGGAGACAGAUGAAGCCACGCUGGAGGUCUUCCAAAGGGGCAAUCCCAGAGAGGUAUGGAAUUUGACCCAAGGCUUGAUUUUCUGAAUGCGGAAGCACACGGCAUGACCAUCAACUUGAAGGAAGCUGGGAGCAGUCAGCUUGACAACCCGAGGUCAGAGGUCAUAUCUGGAAAGGCACAGGCAGAGAGGAAUUCAUGAAGAUUUCUCGCAAGAUCCAAGAAGCUUUUUUAAAAAAGAGAGUCUUUGGGGGCUCGUUUUGGUUAAAUACUGCAGUAAGAAAUAGGUGCCUUCUUUUGGCUUUGUAUUUCCUUUUGUUUCCACCUCCAGCUGUCUGUACUUUGAUCUGGUCCACAUGUCAGUCCCAAGACUGACAUCACAAUGACAAAAGCUUGACUGUGAGUGAAGAACACAGCCGAACGGAUAUAUGGCAGCAAGCAUUCCGUAUCCGAGGGCGCUCGGAAUGUUCGAGAAUGUUCAUCACUUCUUCCUAUCCUUUAGCUAUCAGUAUCACGCAGGAAGGAAUCUGGUUUUCCUCCUUUUCAGAGACAGCCUCACAGCCACACUGAGAUAAUGGGUUUCACGUGGAGUUUUCUGGGCUGUGGACAAGGGGAAGGCUUGGGUUUAGGGUGAAGAGCCUAUCUUGGAUUUUGGAGUGGAAAUGUUUGGCUCUGGGCCCUCGUGCUACAACGAGCUGAUUAGGGGACCCCUCGGAUCUGAAAAUAGAGCCCUUUGGCGUGAUUAACAUUAAAUGAGAUAAUAAACGGGAAGCACUGAA